GAUAUUUGAAGUAGAGAUUGUGCUGCUACACACCCUAGGGUCAAAAGAAAUGCGGGGAGGGGCACUCCCGCCAAAUAUC
rnacentral:ncRNA from 1 species